UUAGAUGUAAAUAUUUUAUUUAAUCUUAAGAACUUAUGAUCUUUAAAAUUAAAAAUUUUGGCGGUAUUUUACUCUUUUUAAAGGAACCUGUUUUUUAAAUGAUAAUCCACGAUUUAAUUAACUUUUGUUAUUAUUUUGUAUAUCGUCGUAAUUAAAUAUUUUUGUAAAAUUAUAAUAUUUAAAAUUUUUUUAAAAAAAUUAAUCAAAUCAAGGUGCAGUUUAUAUAAAAGUUUAAAUGGGUUACAUUAAAUUUAUUUUUGGAUUUUAAAUAUUAUUAUUUAAAUGAAAUUGGAUUUAAUUGUAAUAUUAAUUAAUUAAUUAAUAUAAUUUGGGCUCUAAAAUAUGU
rnacentral:rRNA from 1 species